AUUCACACUUGUAUUCACUCUCCAUUUGUAAAGCGCUUCAUAGAUACUAACUAAUUAAUCCUCCGCUUCUUUCUUGCUCUCCCACCAUGAAGCAGGUGGCAUCUCCAUAUUACGUCGCUCAUUUGCAGAAAGAUAAACAUAAGAACAGCUUAUGUCAUAUCCUUACCGAGGUCCAGGAGUGUAAAGUAAAUACUGUGCUGCCUGGGGCCUUUGUGAAAUAAAAUUACCACAUAUUUUGAGCCUGAAAAUCUAAAUCGCAUAAAUAGAGCCACUGAAGACCUUUUGUCACAUGUGACAGAAAAGAUGGAUUCCUCAGGGAGUUUGUUUACUACACUGUCACAGCGGCUUCUCAUGAAUAUCCAUGAUGUGCAAGCUCCUGGGAAAACUGGAAGAACAGUGAGGAGAAGAAAAUGACUGUGUGUGCUUAAACACAGGCCCGAGCAAAGGCUAUGAAGGCGGUUCCUCCGGGCUUCCUCCACCCCAUCCAAGGUACUUCUGGGGUGAAAACCCCAUAACAAAAAGUAUUAAAGAAUAAAAGAGCCACUGCCCUUUGUAAAUAAGCAGCAGGGAUGUAUCAAGUAGGCAUAUGUCUAAAGAAGGAGAUAGACCAAGAGAAUGAGCUUCUACAAUAGAUUCCAUUGAGCUGUUAACAAGAUCCUGCCUUCACCCCAGCAUAUGGAAGUGCCCCCCAACAGUGCACUGAACAAGAAUGAAAGGUAGUACUCUGCCUAUAUUUAUGGUGUAUAAGCGAAGACAUGGUAUGUGUUACAAUUCUGAGAAUGAAAAGAGAACUCAAAACUGGAUAAGAAGUGGGAGCUGAAGCCAAAAGGCCUAAGGAAGGAAAUCUACCUUAGAUGAUUAGAGCCUGGACUUUCAGCACUAACUUGUAGCAAAAGGUAAGCAACUCCUAUGAGAAAGGAGUUAUGUUUAAAUAGCGUUUGAGGAGUAGAAGUUAAUUCAGGGAGGAAAAAAGACACCAGGAAGAAGAAAAAAAAAAAAAAAA